ensembl:lncRNA
GUCGGUGGGAUCAAAAGGAAAAAUAUCCCCUAAUGCAUACCAGGGGUGCCCGCGUGUCUGUCUGUCUAUCUGUGUGUGUAAAGAGCACGUAUUACAACAUAUGUUGUAAAUGUUGUUUCCUACCGUGCAUCCGGAAAGUAUUCACAGCGCUUCACUUUUUCCACAUUUUAUGAUGUUACAGCCUUAUUCCAAAAUGGAUUCAAUUCAUUAUUCUCCUCAAAAUUCUACAAACAACACCCCAUAAUGACAACGUGAAAGAAGUUUGUUUGAAAUCUGUGCAAAUUUAUUAAAAAUAAAAAACAAAAAAAGCACGUACUAUUGCUUAUAGAAUUUUGAGGAAAAUAAUGAAUUUAAUCCAUGUUAAUGAAGACGGUUGUUAUUUUGCCUGUCACAGACCUUUGCGCGGCCCGGGGCUAAUGCAUCCCUUGGGGCCCCAAUUAUUUGCCAGUUAUAUUCCAUCAACUGCUAAAUCAAAUGUGCAAUCAAAGAACCGUAAAGACUAAAGGCACAUCGUACUCUGUAAACAACAAAUAUGCCAAAAUGCUCAAACAGUUAGCGCAUAGUGAACACUUGCAUUAAAUUUGUUGAUCAAAUAAAAAUAAAGAGAAAUACAGAGAGCAUAUCAUCAACCCAUAUAGGCUAAAAAUAAUCCACAUAAAUUAAACAAUGGUAUCGAGUAAUAAUUUUACAAGUCAGAAACAGCCCAGCAAAUAAAAUUAAUUAAAUCUCACUCAGCACUUAAAGGACUUCUUCCUGCUUCUCCUCAAAGAGAAUACCUCGAUUAAAUAGUUAAAAUCAAGUUGGCGCAGAAUGUUGUACUCACUUGACAUCACUGGCAAACAGUCCAGCCUUUGUCCAUGCAUUGAUGUCCUCAGUCUAUUUUUUAUAAGCGCCAAUUUUGAACCCCCUGAUUCAGAAGUCUUUGCCGAAGGAGGGGGCAUAUCAUCAUCCAGGUGGAUGCUACACACUGGUGUUGGUUGAGAAGAUAACCCCCUAUACAAUGUAAAGCGCUUUGAGUGCCUAGAAAAGAAAAGAAUUUCACGGUGCUGUAAUGUACAAGUGACAAAAAAAAAAGGCUUUUAUUUUCUUAAGACUGAAAUUAAAAAUGAAGAUUCUUAAGACUCCAGUAGAUUACUGAAUAGACUAUAAUUGUGACAACAUAACUACACAAACAAACGAUUAAGUAUAAUCGAUUGAGUAUAAAAUGACAGUUGUAUUUCUUGAGUUUCUCAUUUCAGGAAUGUUCACAAUAGGUAGCGCUGGCUGUGGACUUUGCCACGGGAUUUUGCUACUGAAAGAUCUUACGCAUGGCCUGGGAGGCUGUCUUGUUGGCCUCAGACAGGAACAUCUUGGGGGGUCUUGGGGGGUCGUCGCGUCAAUCUCUAGCAGGGGCUUUGCAGGUGAGACUGCCUCUUGGGUCUUAGACUGGAGCUAUGGAGUUGAGGUCACCACACUGAACUCCGGCUGGAGCUCCGCAGGGGAAACCGCCUCGUAGGUCUCAGGCUAGAGCUCUGGAGAUACGGUCACCACUUUGACCUCUGGCUAGAGCUCGGCAGGGGAGACAACCUCGUGGGUCUCCGGCUGGAGCUAUGGAGUCGAGGUCGCCACGUUGACCUGUGGCUGGAGCUCGGCAGGGAAGACCACCUAGUGAACCUCAGGCAGGAGAUCUGGAGAGGAAACAACCUUGUAGUAGGUGGUGAACAGCUUUGCAGGUUUGUUCAUCGAAAAAAUCAUCCAGGUUGGGGGUUGUACUCAAGACUCCCAAACUCAUUUAUCAAUAGUCACAUAAACUCAGCUACGUUGUUAAGUCCAUUGGAUUCUGUACUGGCCAGACGCUCUGCCCAGUGGUGGGCUUGGUCAACAAGCCGGGACAGUAUGAUCGCCAGCCACUGUCUCUGGUCAGGCUUGGGGUGCGCCAGGCUCAAAAAAUAUUAUUGGCAGUCAAACAGAAAAUACUCAGGGUAGCCAAAAAAUCUAUUGAAAAGGCUCUGGGGGACAUAUUAGUCUGGGCAACAGUAAUAAGUCUCAGCUUAUAUUAUAAACUCAAUUUCCCUUAAUCAAGAUUUUCAUCUAUAUUGCCUUUUUUCCCCAAACCGACUUUUAUGACAAGCGCCUCAGUUCGGCUGAGCGAUUGACAUGCUGGAAUCUUACUGUAGUUAGUUGGCUAGUUAACUUUUGCUCACACGGACGGUUUCCCAAAGAGAGACAGUUGAGGAGGCAAAGGGAAGUAGCUGUAAGAAGGGAAGGCGUUUCUGCAAGUGAGUCCCUCAUGCUAUGCAGUGAGCACAUCAAGCCAGAGGACUUUGAAAGGACAGGUCAGACUGUCAGGAUUAAAGAUGGAGAUAAACCAUCUGUCUUCAGUUUCCCCACUUAUCUUCAAACAGCAGGUGUAUCGAUAGGCUAUAAUGAAUUAAUAGUAUGUCAUCAAAUCGUGGCUCGUUAUUAUUAUUAUUAUUAUUAUCAUUAUUAUUAUUAUUAUUAGCUAUUACAAAUGUAUUAUUAUUAUUAUUAUUAUCAUCAUCAUCAUCAUCAUCAUCACAUAAAUGUUUUUACCACUGUACCUGUAAAUGUUUUUUCC